rnacentral:lncRNA from 1 species
GGAAAUAUUUUGGAGAAAUGGUGGGGCUGUGUGUCCAUCUUUUCUGUCCAAAAUUCAGAGAUUAUUAAAAAUUUAACCUACCAAGUCAGAGGUAUAUUCUUCCAAAUUUUUUCAGGACAAAUACUAAUCUCUAUUCUUUUAUUGCUUAAUUCUUUUUUUGUUUGUUUGUUUUUUUGUUUUACCAGACAUAAAAAGUCAUUUAUUUAUUUUGUUUUUUUGUUUGUUUUUUGUUUUGUUUUGUUUUGUUUUGAGACAGGGUUUCUCUGUGUAUUCUGGCUUUCCUGGAACUCACUCUGUAGACCAGGCUGGCCUCGAACUCAGAAAUACGCCUGCCUCUGCCUCCCAGGUGCUGGGAUUAAAGGCGUGCACCACCACUGCCUGUGGUGGUGGUGUGAAGGCCUGGCUUACCUACCAUGGUUCUUGCUUCUGGAGGAACAGCGUGCUCAGUGCAGUGUGCAGUCUCAGAUAACUCCAGAUUGCAUGAAGCUAACAACAGCAACAACAACAACAACAACAACAACAACAACACAACCAAAUUCCAAAUCUAACCAGAAUUGUGAUUCUUGGUCAUAUUUUCUUCAGGAUUCUGUUUCUUUUUGCAGAUAGAGAUGUUAUUGUAGCUAGAAAACAAUGAAGAGCAAAUAAUGGGAACAUCUAACAGAAUGUUCCCUAAGUGUAUAUCUGCCAAAAUCUAAACUCUUUUUUAUUAAAUAAACAGUCAUUUGUUUCAACUAUCA